UAUAUAUAUAUAUUAGGACAAGUUUAUAAAAAUAUUUUAAUAAUUUCAUCGUAAACUUUAGUCAUAAUAUAGGAAUUAGUUUAUGUUAUUAACAUUUAUUAAACUUAUUUUUAAUAUCUUAUAGUUUUUUAAAGAUAUUGCAUAUAAGUUGUAUAAGUGUUAUUCUAAUUAUUAUUAACAAUUCAUAAAACAUAUUGCAGUUGUAUAAUAUUUUGACUUAUAUGUAGAUACAUGAAUAUAAUGUAUACGUAGCAUAAAAAUAAUGUAUAUGCAGCAUAAUAAUUUAAUUUGUUUUUUUUUUUAAGAACAUGUAACAAUUAAAAAAUAUGAAAAUACAACCAAAUCUUACAUUAAUAAUGUUUCUAUAGAUUUUUUUAUUAACACAUUUGUACCAUUCUAUUUGUAAGAUCAUUUUAGCUAAAAAAGAUUAUAAGCUUGUUUUCUGUUGGAGUUUUUAGUAAUCUCGUUGAAUGUAUAUAAUACAUUUAAGGUUGCUCCAAAAAAGGAAGUGGAUGAAAAUGAUAAAGCAGCUGGUGAUAAAAAAGAAGCUAUUACAAUCAAUGAAAUGAAAGAAGCUCCCUUAGCUACGCCUGAGGCUUAAAGUUACAAGCUAUUUCAUACAACUAACAGUUCUAAUUGACAAGUUAAGUAAUACAAAUUGCAAAAGCAAUGCGAAGUAUCACUAUACAUACGUUAUAAAUAUUUGACAUACCUUAUAAUAAUGCUAUAUGAGUAACAGUUAACAAGAAAUAAAAAAAAGACUGUUACAGAAAUCAAAAGUUUCUAUAAACAAGUUUAUUUUGUUGCAUCUGUAAGGUAGACUUUACUUUGAAACAGCUAAAAUGAUCUUACUCUUUCUAAAUUAAUAUUUUGUAAUAUUACAUAUGAGGAAUAGCAUUUGAAUUUUAAACAUUUUUAAUUCAAAUGUUUAUUCACAUGAAAUGCGAUAUUCAUCUAUAAUUUUUAUUACGAUCAUAUUUAUAAUAAGAUCAUAUUUUUCUCAUUGUUACAUAUUGUGUUCGUAUCUGUUUUUACGUAUCGAGAACAAACAACAAAGAAUUUAUAAAGAUAUAAUUAGUGAAGCGAAAUGAAAUUCCGGCAAGAGAUAAUAGUUUUCCGCCUAUUUGCAAUGUAGGAGAAAGAAAUUUAUAUGCAUUGUAGAAAAAAAAAAAAAUGCGCGAAGUACUGAGGCACCUCUAUUUUAAUCGAAAUUGAUAUAUGGAUAAGAAUAGUUUAUCGUAACAGCGUUCCAGCGUGAAAAAUGAGGUGUAAUAUUUUGUAAUGUAAUCUAUGGAAUAAAUUUAUUUGCUGGAAAUGCGGUUUUCUACUUAAAAAUUCAUGUUCUUUAAAUAAUUAUAAUAGUACUUUGCCGAUAUUUAUAUCUUCAUUCAUAGAAUAGAUCUGUAAUAACUGUAAUUAUGAAAAUAUAAGUACUCUCUGUAUAGUA